GAUGAAGAACGUAGUGAAAUGCGAUAAGUAAUGUGAAUUGCAGAAUUCAGUGAAUCAUCGAAUCUUUGAACGCACAUUGCGCCCGCCAGUAUUCUGGCGGGCAUGCCUGUUCGAGCGUCAUUUCAACCAUCAAGCCUCAGGCUUGUGUUGGAGCCCUGCGGCUGCCGCAGCCUCCCAAAACCAGUGGCGGGCUCGCUAUCACACCGAGUGCAGUAGUUUACUCUUCGCUCAGGGCGUGUGGCGGGUGCUAGCCGUGAAACCCCCAACUUCUCAAGGUUGACCUCGGAUCAGGUAGGAAUACCCGCUGAACUUAAGCAUAUCAAUAAGCGGGGGA
rnacentral:misc_RNA from 1 species